rnacentral:misc_RNA from 1 species
GUAUAAUGUUUUUUAUAGGGCUGUUUUACGGCCCCUUAUAUUUUCAUUCUUUGACAUGCGUGUUUAGAUAUAAGAAGACAUAGAGUCCUCCGGGAGACGUCCAAGGGGCGAGGCCAGAAGGCCUCUUCCCCACAUGACACGGCCCAGGUUACCCCGAGCGUAUCCCCCAGAAAAGCUCUACAAAGGGUGCACAGGUGGAAAGAUAAAGAUGACAGAGGUGCACAUGCUCGAGAGCCAGCUACAUUCCAUCAGGUUUAUUUCUGUAAUGAUCCUUCCGCAGGUUCACCUACGGAAA